rnacentral:lncRNA from 10 species
GGGGUCUCGGUUUACUCUCCCUAAUUAGUAGGAAGAGUCUUGGUUCUGGAGACUUCUCCUCAAUCAGUAAGAUUUCGGGGAGACUUCUCAGAUGGAGAAUAGGAUAGUUUGGAAGGAAUACUCUUGGAAUUCUUGGUUAGGGAUCUUGGUUUGGAAGGCCUUCUGUCCGUCUUGUCUUUGUGUGUGUGUUUGUAUAUGUGGAGGGGAUCUCUGAGGGAAUUUCUGAUGCAAGUCCAGCAGGCCUAACUCAGAAAACCCUCUGUAAGUAUGGUCACAUUCAGUGAGCUCUGAAAAAAAAGCUUAACAGGCCUGACUGUUAAGGGGUAACUCUCUGCUCUUUGUCUUGCCCAGAGACUACUCAUUGAUGCCAUCCCUCCCCACCUUGAGUGGAUCAAAGAUGAUAGGGACCAAAGGAAGACAGUUUGAGCCUUGCUAGGGUGAUACUGGGUGCCCAAUGAGGUGACUACUAUCUGUUUUGUUAUGUGUAUUUUGCUUCAGCUGAGACGGAAAAUGUUAAUUCGGUUCUCCAUGCAGCCCAUCGGGCAGCAUCUUACAAAGUUGAGAAGCUUUGCCUAUGGUUCCAUAAAACAGAAAAGGAUGAUAUUUAUUUAUUUAUUUAUUUAUUUAUUUAUUUUGUAGUGGGCUUGGCCCCCACAGCUAUAGCAUAGUGAACAGUUAUCAAAGGCCGCUCCGUUCUUCUGGAAGCUGCAGAGAAAGGGAACCUGGAAACCUGGCCACAUUCUGCCCCUUGGGUGAACCUGACUGUUCCCUGAGUCGUCGCUGAAGUCAGCUUUCUGGCCAGUUCCUCAGAGGAAGAAGUGAAGCAUGGAGCCACCCAAGCUGCCCAACCCCAGCUGCUGAGGGCCUGCCUCAGGUCCCAUGGCCAAAGAACCUGCUUCUUCCAAGGCUGUCAGUUGUCCCAUUUUCGGCACCCUUGCUGAUCACACCCUCGCUGGUCACACCACCUACUUUCUGCUUCCCCAACCUUGGUUCUCAUCCCUGUAACAUAAGCAUCAUUUUUAUGCUGACCCUGAGAGAGCAAACCCCCCAUCACACUCUGGAGGGUGUGGGGGGUGAAAGUCAACACCUUCAGUCUCUGGUGGAGGCUUGUGACCUCUGACAUCCCUCAUUUGCCUCCGUUUUCCAGUGCACCCCACUGCUGCAUCCACCAAAGCAGUUUCGAGUGCCUGCUUGCGUGCCUGGUACCACAGCAGGUGCUGGGGAUAGAAUGCGGAACAAAAGAGGCCUCCACGGUCCUUUUCCUGCAAACUGUAGUUUACAAUAAAAGUAAACUAUAUUCACGUAUAACUAUAUGGUCUUGAAUUAUGAUGAGGGCAGUGAAGAAACUAAUUGAGUGCCGCGUGAGAAAUGAGGAAAGGGACCUUCUUUAGAUGGGUGGCCAAGAGGAGUCUUUCUGAUGAGUUGAUGUUUUGGCUGAGACCCCCACCCCAAAUGUCUUCCAAAUGAUAAUAAUCUCUUCCCUCACUGGGUCCCUAUGGGGUCCUGGAACACUACAGUGUCCUGAGAAGUGCACAGGGUUUUGGAUAAUUCAGGCCGGGGUUCACCUCCCAGCUCUGUCCUUUCACGCAGAGGAACUUCUCAACGUCCUCCCCUGUGAAAUGGAGACAGCCACCACCAGAGGGCAGUAGUGAGGACUACGUGAGAAGAGGUGUGUAAGGCCCCGUUGGCUCAGACCUGCCGAAACACUCAGGGAGGGGUCUCAUUCCUGAGCCCCUGCUCCCAUGCCUGUUUCCACCGCCCGCAACCUGCGGGGACCUUCCCACCCUCAGACCUCAUCUUGACAGUUUAUCCCUGUCACUGGCCUCAUCCCUAGUUUGGCUGGUCCUGCCCCUCCCCGUACCCAGUUAGGACAGUUGGUCUGACGUGUCUCCACCUUCUCAUCUCACCCUUAACUUCAAAGGGUCCCCAAAGCUUUCAC